AAUUAGAUUCUAGAUUCCAGAAAACUCCCAAAGAGAGAAAAACUCCUUCUCUUCCACGACUCCGCUCCUCCUCAAGCAUGAUUUUGCCAACGCUGCUCCACCUUGUAACUCUACGAUUUUGGACGAAUUUAUGUUCUAUCUUUGUUUUUGUUUUUUUAAUUUUUUUUUCACUCUAAUAUAGUCAGAUUUAUGGUGAAAGGAGUUGAAUCUACUGUUCGAAAUUCAAAUUUGGACGAGGGAAAACAUUGGGCCAUGGAACAAUCUUCAAAUUAAUUUCAAGCCUUAUAAAUCGAAGCUGGGGAAAAAGAGGAAGAAGAACUACCAGACAGAAGCAGAAGAACAAACCAAAGAAAGGGGAAGAAGAAGGAACGAGGGAAGAAGAAGGAACCAAGUACCAACGGAUUUAAUGGACUUUUGAAAGGAAACGGUGUUGUUUGGUAUUAAAUGAAACUGUGUCGUUUUAUUCCAAUAAUUGUUGUAUCAUAAAUUCCUUAUUUCAGCUGGAGUAAAUUCCAGUGUAGGUUUGUGCGAAACUGUGUUUGCAAGUUGCAGUUCAGCUCAUGACAGAUGGUAUUAGAGUAGGCAUAUUAUACUGAGCAAACAAUAAUCAUGGAUACAAGGUCGAAGGCAGUUGAUGAGCACUAGAAGAAAUUGGAUCUGGAGAUUUCUCAUCUGGGUAAUUCCUUUAAAGCUGUUAACAACGGGCUGAAGAACAAGUUGGCGUCCACUGAUCAAUCUCUCCAGAUAAGUGGGCAUAGACAGGAAAAACUUGAAGCUACACUGUUAGAUAUGAAUCAUAAAAAUGAAAAUUUAGUGGCCAUGUUGACCCAGUUGUCUUUAGAUAUCAAAAUGGGGCAGAAAAACAAAGGAGUGGAAGAAACUCUGGUCAAGGUGAAUUCUGAGGGUGUAAUAUCUAUCUUAGGAGCUAGUAACACUGAAAGUAGUAUUUAUACUAUAGGGGACUUUAAGGGAAAUAAUAGGCUGCCUAAGUUUGAUUUUCCACACUUUGGGGGAGAACCUAAGGAAUGGCUUAGAAAGCUAGGGAGUAUUUCCAACUUCGUCAGAUCCCACAUGAAUUGAGAUUGGGUAUUGCUGAAAUGUAUUUGAAAGGUAAAGCAGAUUUGUUUUGCCAGAAUUUCACUGUAAUUGUUGAUUUUAUCAACAACUUUUCUCCACCUUCUCUUAUUCAUUUAACAUCAUUUAUCCUAUCUCCAUCAUAUUUUCUUUUAAUUUGGUUACAAUUUCAGCUCAUUCUGCUGUGAGAAUUUCACAGUUGAUCUGUUGGAAACUUGAGGUUGAUAAUUGAAAUUCAGUUCGUGACAAAAUGGUAUCAAAGCCAGAUUUCCUUGCGAGACACCCUAAUGUAGAUUGAAGAAUCUUCAAUUAAGAAUUGUGUAAGAGGUUUGAUGAGAAUACUGAAAUUAUUGAGGAAGUAGGAGGAAAGGAAAUCUGAAUCACAGAAAGAGGAAGUUUUUAAGAUUUCUAUCAAUGCUUUGGAAGGAAUUCCAGGGCAUAAAACUAUCAAAAUUCCUGGAAUUUUAAAGGGGAGGAGGAUAUCUAUUCUAAUAGAUAGUGGAAGCACACAUAGCUUCCUAGAUGAGAGACUGGCUAAGGAGCUGAACUACACUACUGAGGAAACCACAACCAUGACAAUGAGAGUGGCUAAUGGUAUAAAGCCGGAGAGUAAAGCUUUGAAUCAGCCACUGGUUUGGAAGGUGCAUAACUGGGAGUUCCAGUAUAAUUUGAGAUCUCUGAAGUUAGGAGGUAGUGCUAUGGUAUUGAGGGUGAACUGGAUGAGUCAGCCUCAUAAAAUUUGACUUUAUCCUAGGAUAAGUGAAGUUCAAACACCAGCAGAAAGAGGUUAUCUUGAGGAGUGAAGGAUCAGAACCCGGGGUUAAAAUGAUGGAAGUUGAGGAAAUGGAGAAUUUGUUUAGAAGGUACCAUUAUGGACUGGCUGGCCAUUUGUACAAUAUUGUGGAGAAAGGGAAAGAAGAAAUUCCAUGCCAAAUCACUGAGGUUAUUAGCCAAUAUACAGAGGUAUUUGAAGAUCCAACAGGGCUGCCAUCUCAUAGAUCUCAUGACCAUCAUAUUCUGUUAAAAGAGAUAGCAUAACCAUUCAAAAUUAGGACUCAUAAAUGCCUUUCUAUUCGGAAAAUAGAAAUAGGGAGGCUAGUGGUGGAGAUCGAAAAUACAAAUUAAAUCAACAGUUAAAGGAGAACCUUUCACAGGGAAGUGCAAGGACGAAGCUUUAUGCUGAUAAAAAGAGACCAGAAAGGCCAUUUGUUGAAGGUGAUUGGGUAUUCCUUAAAACUCCUUCCAUACAGGCACCAGUCAGUAGAGUACAGGCAGAACUACAAGCUGGGCGCAAGUUAUUUUGGUCCUCACCAGAUUAUCAAGGAAAUAGGGACAGUAGCAUAUCAGUUGGCACUACGUGAGGGUUCAAAAUUCCAUCCAAUUUUCUAUGUGUCGUUGAAAAGGAAGUUAGGUGAUAAACAUAUGCCGGUACUAUUUUUGCUUAUUAAUAGUUAUUCCCAACAGGUAGAACAUUAACCACGCUCCAUCUUACAGUCAAGGAUGGUAGAGAGUCGGAUCCGCACAGCAAGGCGAUGGUUGAUUCAUUGGUCAGAUCUUCCUCCUGACAGUGCAACUUGGGAGAAUGUGGAACGGGUUAAAGUUAAAUUUCCCAAUUGUAGAUCUUAGGGGCAAGAUCAAAGUGAGGGGGAGGGUUGUUACUUGAAGAGUAGCUAGGGAAAUAGAGGAAGAGGAACUACCAGACAGAAGCAGAAGAAGAAACCGGGGAAAAAGAAGGAACCAAUUGACUUUUAAAUGGAAACGGUGUCGUUUGGUCCUAAAUGGAACUGUGUUAUUUUAUUCCAACAAUUUUGUUAUUUGUUAGAAAUCGUCUUUUACUUUUGGGGUUUGGAAAGCACAACUUUAUAUGUAUAUAGCCAUGUGCGAAGAGGGAAAGACUGAUUUUUCUGCCAAAUUGGUUAUUAAUUGAAGUGCAAUUCAGUCUUCUCCUUCUCAAUCUUAUUUUACAUCAUUUAAUCCGUCCCCCAUCAUCUUUUACUUUGAAUUUAGUAUCAUAAAUUCCUUAAUUCAGCUGGAGUAAAUUCCAGUGUUGGUUUGUCUGAAUCUUUGUUUGCGAGUUGUAGUUCAGCUCGUGACAAUUCUAUCAUUCAAAGGCUUGAUUAACGGUAUUUAACAACCUCCAUUAGCAAAGGCAGCUAACAUGUGCUACAGCUUCCAGUCACAGCCAUGCGUCCUUCGCAUGCUAAAGCCUUCAUUAGCUGCUGUUGCCACAACUGUUGGCUACUAGAGCCUCUGGUCAUCAUCGUUGAGGUUGUCACAGCAUGUUUAAGGUCAUCAAAAGCUACAAUUGAGGCAAUCACUGGAUGAUCCAUCUAGUCCUGUGAAUGGGCUGAAGUGAUUCUAAUUUGAUCGCCUUUAUUGAGCACAAUUUUGUUAAUGGAGGGACAAUUUCCAAUUAGGCUACAAGUUAGUCUUUUCUUUAUUUGAACGACGAAAGUGCACACUUUGGCAACAACUCGGAUGCAGUAAGAUGGAUAGUGGACAGCAAGGAAACAUUGUAGUCACCAUUAAGAGUUAAUUUUACAUUUUGUUUGUGAAUUACAAAUCUGGUGGCUACGUGGCUACCAUGGUCUGAAUAUUAAUGAGGUUGGUCAAGUUCUCUUGAACUUAAUCAAAUUACUUGAUAAUCAUGAAGUCCAUAGGAUCUGUUGUGAUGUAUAAAAAAAUGGGCUGAAGUGAUUCUAAUUUGAUCGCCUUUAUUGAGCACAAUUUUGUUAAUGGAGGGACAAUUUCCAAUUAGGCUACAAGUUAGUCUUUUCUUUAUUUGAACGACGAAAGUGCACACUUUGGCAACAACUCGGAUGCAGUAAGAUGGAUAGUGGACAGCAAGGAAACAUUGUAGUCACCAUUAAGAGCUAAUUUUACAUUUUGUUUGUGAAUUACAAAUCUGGUGGCUACGUGGCUACCAUGGUCUGAAUAUUAAUGAGGUUGAUCAAGUUCUCUUGAACUUUAUCAAAUUACUUGAUAAUCAUGAAGUCCAUAGGUAAUUUCUCUAGGACACAGUUUUUUAAAGAUCUUCAAAUGGGUUCCUUAUGAGUUCUUUUGAUUUAUUUUGCCAGGAUCUGUUGUGAUGUAUAAAAAAAUGGGCUGAAGUGAUUCUAAUUUGAUCGCCUUUAUUGAGCACAAUUUUGUUAAUGGAGGGACAAUUUCCAAUUAGGCUACAAGUUAGUCUUUUCUUUAUUUGAACGACGAAAGUGCACACUUUGGCAACAACUCGGAUGCAGUAAGAUGGAUAGUGGACAGCAAGGAAACAUUGUAGUCACCAUUAAGAGCUAAUUUUACAUUUUGUUUGUGAAUUACAAAUCUGGUGGCUACGUGGCUACCAUGGUCUGAAUAUUAAUGAGGUUGAUCAAGUUCUCUUGAACUUUAUCAAAUUACUUGAUAAUCAUGAAGUCCAUAGGUAAUUUCUCUAGGACACAGUUUUUUAAAGAUCUUCAAAUGGGUUCCUUAUGAGUUCUUUUGAUUUAUUUUGCCAGGAUCUGUUGUGAUGUAUAAAAAAAUGGGCUGAAGUGAUUCUAAUUUGAUCGCCUUUAUUGAGCACAAUUUUGUUAAUGGAGGGACAAUUUCCAAUUAGGCUACAAGUUAGUCUUUUCUUUAUUUGAACGACGAAAGUGCACACUUUGGCAACAACUCGGAUGCAGUAAGAUGGAUAGUGGACAGCAAGGAAACAUUGUAGUCACCAUUAAGAGCUAAUUUUACAUUUUGUUUGUGAAUUACAAAUCUGGUGGCUAUGUGGCUACCAUGGUCUGAAUAUUAAUGAGGUUGAUCAAGUUCUCUUGAACUUAAUCAAAUUACUUGAUAAUCAUGAAGUCCAUGGGAUCUGUUGUGAUGUGUGCUAGAAGUGGUUCCAUUGCAAGCGUGUGAAGAUUACACCAGCUAGAGCCGAGCAUAUUAAGCAAUACAAGUGUCCUUUAUGCAGUAAUAAGAGAGCCAGUGCUUGAUGUGAAAUAUUAUUAUCUGUACUCUUGAUAACCAUCCAAGUCUUUGUUGUUUAGUUCAUUUCUUGUUUGAGUAUAAUGUGGAGAAUUAACCUAUGAAUAGAACUCUUAUUGGGCAGGCUUGCAAUUGGUAUAGGUUGUCUUGUUAUGUUCCCUGUUUUAUGUUCUCUUGUAGAGUUUUCAGUUUUUCUUUUGAUUAUAUGAUAAGAAGCACAUUUAAAUCA